CCACUCAGCUCUAUUAGAAGUGUGAGAGCCCAGCAGGACUCAGAGGGGAGAGUUGGAGAAAAAGGCAGAAAAGGGAAAGAAAGAGGAAGAGAGAGAGUGAGAGAGGCUGAGCAGACCCUGAUGGCUACAGACGAAGUUGCAGGAGGGGCUCGCAAAGCUACGAAAAGCAAACUUUUUGAGUUUCUGGUCCAUGGGGUGCGCCCUGGGAUGCCAUCAGGUGCUCGAAUGCCCCAUCAGGGGGCUCCAAUGGGUCCCCCUGGCUCACCAUAUGUUGGAAGCCCCUCAGUCCGCCCUGGAAUGCCCCAAACAGCGAUGGAGCCAUCACGAAAGCGUGCAGCGCCUCAGCAGGUCCAGCAACAGCAGGUGCCGCAACAGCAGGUACAGCCGCAGCAGCAAGCAACUCAGACCCGAAGCCGGAGUGCCAAGAGGAGGAAGAUGGCUGACAAAAUUCUCCCUCAGAGG